rnacentral:rRNA from 1 species
AUUGAACGCUGGCGGCAUGCUUUACACAUGCAAGUCGGACGGCAGCACAGAGAAGCUUGCUUCUUGGGUGGCGAGUGGCGAACGGGUGAGUAACAUAUCGGAACGUACCGAGUAAUGGGGGAUAACUAAUCGAAAGAUUAGCUAAUACCGCAUAUUCUCUGAGGAGGAAAGCAGGGGACCUUCGGGCCUUGCGUUAUUCGAGCGGCCGAUAUCUGAUUAGCUAGUUGGUGGGGUAAAGGCCUACCAAGGCGACGAUCAGUAGCGGGUCUGAGAGGAUGAUCCGCCACACUGGGACUGAGACACGGCCCAG